CCCGGGGAGGCCAAUUCCAAACUAAAAUUUUGAAGAAAAAUAUCAGAGUCUUAGUUUUGUACAAAACUAAGACCCAAUUCCAAACUGAAAUUUUGAAGAAAAAUAUCAGAGUCUUAGUUUUGUACAUCAGGGGAUCUUAGUUUUGUACGUACAAAACUAAGAUCCCCCGAGGUACAAAACUAAGACCCAAUUCCAAACUGAAAUUUUGAAGAAAAAUAUCAGAGUCUUAGUUUUGUACAUCGGGGGAUCUUAGUUUUGUACGUACAAAACUAAGAUCCCCCGAGGUACAAAACUAAGACCCAAUUCCAAACUGAAAUUUUGAAGAAAAAUAUCAGAGUCUUAGUUUUGUACAUCAGGGGAUCUUAGUUUUGUACGUACAAAACUAAGAUCCCCCGAGGUACAAAACUAAGACCCAAUUCCAAACUGAAAUUUUGAAGAAAAAUAUCAGAGUCUUAGUUUUGUACAUCAGGGGAUCUUAGUUUUGUACGUACAAAACUAAGAUCCCCCGAGGUACAAAACUAAGACCCAAUUCCAAACUGAAAUUUUGAAGAAAAAUAUCAGAGUCUUAGUUUUGUACAUCAGGGGAUCUUAGUUUCCAAAUUCUGCCCCUCUUUCGAAUUCAUUUUGAUGUAGUAAUGUCACCUUUGAGAUGCAUGCAGUUGCUCCAUCUGAAUAAUACCUCCAUAUGCACUAUGCAGGCACGACCGGUCAUCACUCUAGCAUAUACUCUAGCAUAUACGGCCUCCAUCCAGCUCCACAAAAAGUGGCGAAACCGGUGCAAUAUGCCAGUAGCACGUGGAUCAUGCCGAGCGGCGCUGUCAGGUGUUUCCACUAUGGGUUACAUAAUCGGCUACAAAGAGGCCAGUGUUCUAGUAAAUGAAGUUAGCAAUGAUAGCGAAGAAUGUUAGUGUAUGUUACGAAGUCAAUAGCGAUAGUAGUGAGUUGGAGAGAGGAGAAACUUCCAUCGGGAUAUUUGGUAGAGGCAGACCUUCAAGAGUCCCAAGAAGAAACUUUGCAAAGUCUUCAUCAAACUGAUAAUCAUAUUCCUUCCUUCUCUGCCUAUAUUGCAAUAACGUUGUUUGACUCGGUUAGUAUGUAAUUGAUGGAUAAGAAAACGUUCAUAUUUUACUCGUUCCAACUCUUCCGAUGGCGGCGCUCCUCC